AUCCAGCUGACGAGUCCCAAAUAGGACGAAAUAGCGCGCGUCCGGGAU
rnacentral:hammerhead_ribozyme from 1 species